UGUGAGAGACGACGGUUCAAUUCCUCUCAGCUUCAUCUCUUCUAUAAUUUCCAAACAUCGAGUCUUAUUGUACUGGUUGCAACUUAUAAGGAUGGU
rnacentral:sRNA from 15 species